AUGGCGUGGCGAGACCCUGCCCAGCAGCCGCUGAGCCAGGAUGGCACUCUUAGUGCCCUUGAGCUGGGACGAUGUCCCCGGGGACCACCCCGCAUGGCAGCGUCCUCCAGGCGGACGCUGAUCCAGGCGGUUGAGGAGUCGAGGCGGACGACGCCGCAGGAGGCAGCGCCAUCCCAGCAGCAGGAUGCGCCGAGGGCGAGGCCACCAGUCCGGCAGCAAAGGCAGAGACGAGGCAGGAACCAGCGGCGUCCUCCUUGGACCACCGCGACGAGAGACAGGAACCGAAGCAGAUGCGGCCGGAGCCGGACCGCCAGGGACCGAUGCAGAUGCGGCCGGAGCCGGACCGCCAGGAACCGAUGCAGAUGCGGCCGGAGCCGGGCCGCCAGGAACCGAUGCAGAUGCGGCCGGAGCCGGGCCGCCAGGAACCGAUGCAGAUGCGGCCGGAGCCGGGCCGCCAGGAAACCGAUGCAGAUGCGGCCGGAGCCGGGCCCGCCAGGAACCGAUGCAGAUGCGGCCGGAGCCGGGCCGCCAGGAACCGAUGCUGGUGCGGCCGGAGCCGGGACGGAGCGGCCCCCUCCUGGAGGUCGGCAGGAGCUACGACGGGAGCGACCCCCUCCUGGAGGUCGGCAGGAGCUACGACGGGAGCGACCCCCUCCUGGAGGUCGGCAGGAACUACGGACGGGAGCGACCCCCUCCUGGAGGUCGGCAGGAACUACGACGGGAGCGACCCCCUCCUGGAGGUCGGCAGGGAACUACGACGGGAGCGACCCCCUCCUGGAGGUCGGCAGGAACUACGACGGGAGCGACCCCCUCCUGGAGGUCGGCAGGAACUACGACGGGAGCGACCCCCUCCUGGAGGUCGGCAGGAACUACGACGGGAGCGACCCCCUCCUGGAGGUCGGCAGGAACUACGACGGGAGCGACCCCCUCCUGGAGGUCGGCAGGAACUACGACGGGAGCGACCCCCUCCUGGAGGUCGGCAGGAACUACGGCGGGGAGCGACCCCCUCCUGGAGGUCGGCAGGAACUACGACGGGAGCGACCCCCUCCUGGAGGUCGGCAAGAACUACGACGGGCGCGACCCCCUCCUGGGGGUCUGCCGGGACUGCGGCGGGCGCGACCCCCUCCUGGGGGUCUGCCGGGACUGCGGCGGGCGCGACCCCCUCCUGGGGGUCCGCCGGGACUGCGGCGGGCGCGACCUCCUCCUGGAGGUGCGCAGGAACUGCGGCUGGCGCAACCUCCUCCUGGAGGUGCGCAGGAACUGCGGCUGGCGCAACCUCCUCCUGGAGGUGCGCAGGAACUGCGGCUGGCGCAACCUCCUCCUGGAGGUGCGCAGGAACUGCGGCUGGCGCAACCUCCUCCUGGAGGUGCGCAGGAACUGCGGCUGGCGCAACCUCCUCCUGGAGGUGCGCAGGAACUGCGGCUGGCGCGACCUCCUCCUGGAGGUGCGCAGGAACUGCGGCUGGCGCGACCUCCUCCUGGAGGUGCGCAGGAACUGCGGCUGGCGCAACCCUCCUCCUGGAGGUGCGCAGGAACUGCGACUGGCGCGACCUCCUCCUGGAGGUGCGCAGGAACUGCGACUGGCGCGACCUCCUCCUGGAGGUGCGCAGGAACUACGGCUAGCGCGACCUCCUCCUGGGGGCCGGCGGGCGCUGCGGCUCCACGGGUGACGGGGACUGGAACGACUGCUACAGGGCCGACAGGAACGGGGACUGGAACGACCGCUACAGGGCCGACAGGAACGGGGACUGGAACGACCGCUACAGGGCCGACAGGAACGGGGACUGGAACGACCGCUACAGGGUCGACAGGAACGGGGACUGGAACGACCGCUACAGGGUCGACAGGAACGGGGUCAAAGACAGGGGUGACCUCUGCUUGGCCUACGGGAACGCCCUCUACUUGGCCUACGGGAACGCCCUCAACUUGGCCUACGGGAACGCCCUCAACUUGGCCUACGGGAACGCCCUCAACUUGGCCUACGGGAACGCCCUCAACUUGGUCGACAGGGACAGGAACUGGAACGACCUCAACUUGGUCGACAGGGACAGGAACUGGAACGACCUCAACUUGGUCGACAGGGACAGGAACUGGAACGACCUCAACUUGGUCGACAGGGACAGGAACUGGAACGACCUCAACUUGGCCGACAGGGACGGGGACAGGAACGACCUCAACUUGGUCGACAGGAACUGGAACGACCUCAACUUGGUCGACAGGAACUGGAACGACCUCAACAUGGCCGACAGGAACUGGAACGACCUCAACAUGGCCGACAGGAACAGGAACGACCUCAACAUGGCCGACAGGAACUGGAACGACCUCAACAUGGCCGACAGGAACAGGAACGACCUCAACAUGGCCGACAGGAACUGGAACGACCUCAACAUGGCCGACAGGAACUGGAACGACCUCAACAUGGCCGACAGGAACUGGAACGACCUCAACAUGGCCGACAGGCGGAACUGGAACGACCUCAACAUGGCCGACAGGAACUGGAACGACCUCAACAUGGCCGACAGGACAGGAACGACCGCAACAUGGCCGACAGGGACUGGAACGGCCUCUACUUGGCCGACAGGAACUAGAACGGCGUCCUCCUCUGAGGAGCCGACAGGAACUGGAACUAGAACGGCCUCAAUAUGGCCGACGGGAACAGGGACGGCGUCCUCCUCUGAGGAGCCGACAGGAACUAGAACGGCCGCAACAUGGCCGACAGGGACUGGAACGGCCCGCAACAUGGCCGACAGGGACUGGAGCGGCGUCCCCUCCGGAGCUGGCAUGA
rnacentral:lncRNA from 1 species